CUUCAAGCUCAAAAUCUAUCUCAAAAUCCAAACACUUUUAUAUCCCUCAACUGAAUCAACAGACCGAUGUAUUUUCCCGUCCCGGAUUCGUUAGAGAUACCGGUAAGCCAACAUUGCGUUGUUUAUUCUGCUAUAACUUGGACUUUAUGACCGCCGCAUACAGGACUAUUACUGCCAUUGGCAGCUAGCUUCAUGUCAUAAACUCCAAAGUACAUCGAUGAAACUCUUGUCAAAUCUUUCUGUCAGAGCUCAGGACUACAUUCGUUGUGUAUAAGUCAUCAACCCACAAUUAUAUUUUUAGGCCUAUUCGUAGAUCGUGAUCGCUAAUUAUUGCUUUAAAUUGGAUCAUAAUUAUUAACGGACACUUGCUCCACCAGCUCAAGGAAUAUGAUGAAGUCGGGUAGUGGUGUGUGUGUGGAGCGUUCUAUCUGAUGGGUUCGGCUGUGGUUCGCAUGAGAAGUAGAGUAGGGCUUGGACAGGAGAAACAGUUUAACAACAUGGGUAGUUUGUAUGAAUUAAAGAAAGAGCUUCGAGAGAAAGAUCGGCGCAUAGAGGAACUAGAAAACAUAGUAAAAGCAAAGGAUGUUGAAUUGGCCGAAUUGCGUACGACCGUAGAUAAAUUUCAAUCAGUGCUUCCCACAAUAGGUCGCCCUGGAUCUACUGUUUAUACGAAGAAAAGAGCCGUAGGUAUUUCCGCUGAACCUCAAUCACUACAAUCCGUUCAAGAAGCGGCACAAAAAGAAUUCAAGAAGUAUCCAAAGUCAAAGAGGUAAGUGUGAUAAAACACCAUUAAAAAAAAAAAAA